GAUAACUGCAUCGUGCACGAGCUGACAGGCCAGAGCCCCAUCCGGCAGCGGCCUGCCCAAGCGGGCUGAGCCCAGGGAGGCAUCCCCACUCCACAGCCUGGGCCACCUCAUCAUGGACCAGAGCUAUGUGUGCGCACUCAUCGCCAUGAUGGUGUGGAGCAUCACCUACCAUAGCUGGCUGACCUUUGUGCUGCUGCUCUGGGCCUGCCUCAUCUGGACAGUGCGCAGCCGCCACCAGCUGGCCAUGCUAUGUUCACCCUGCAUCCUGCUGUACGGGAUGACGCUGUGCUGUCUGCGCUACGUGUGGGCCAUGGACCUGCGCCCUGAGCUGCCUACCACCCUGGGCCCCGUCAGUCUGCGCCAGCUGGGGCUGGAGCACACCCGCUACCCCUGCCUGGACCUUGGCGCCAUGUUGCUCUACACCCUGACCUUCUGGCUCCUGCUGCGCCAGUUUGUGAAAGAGAAGCUGCUGAAGCGGGCAGAGGCUCCAGCUGCGCUAACGGAGGUCACUGUGGCAGACACAGGUGAGUGGCAGGCCAGAGGUGGGGGCUGCCCUCCUGCCCGCCCGCCCGCCCCGAUGCCAUCGCCUGCCCCCGGCUUGGCCCACAGAGCCCACGCGGACGCAGACCCUGCUGCAGAGCCUGGGGGAGCUGGUGAAGGGCGUCUAUG
rnacentral:lncRNA from 1 species